AUUGAACGCUGGCGGCAUGCCUUACACAUGCAAGUCGAACGGUAACAGGUCUUCGGAUGCUGACGAGUGGCGAACGGGUGAGUAAUACAUCGGAACGUGCCCGAUCGUGGGGGAUAACGGAGCGAAAGCUUUGCUAAUACCGCAUACGAUCUACGGAUGAAAGCAGGGGACCGCAAGGCCUUGCGCGGACGGAGCGGCCGAUGGCAGAUUAGGUAGUUGGUGGGAUAAAAGCUUACCAAGCCGACGAUCUGUAGCUGGUCUGAGAGGACGACCAGCCACACUGGGACUGAGACACGGCCCAGCCUCCUACGGGAGUCAGCAGUGGGGAAUUUUGGACAAUGGGCGCAAGCCUGAUCCAGCAAUGCCGCGUGCAGGAUGAAGGCCUUCGGGUUGUAAACUGCUUUUGUACGGAACGAAAAGCCCUGGGUUAAUACCCUGGGGUCAUGACGGUACCGUAAGAAUAAGCACCGGCUAACUACGUGCCAGCCGCCGCAGUAAGAC
rnacentral:rRNA from 1 species